AGAUCCAAACAACAUGCCAAUCGAAAACUAGAGCGAUGCCAAUGGGAAAAUAUGUGAAACGCUGCUCAUAAAAACUGAACAAUAUUUUGCAACAUCUAUCAAUUAUACGAGUAGAACUAUAGAAGAAAUUUUUCGGAGACUUCCACAAGUUAAAUUAUGUUUUAUGUAACCGCAACAGCGUGCUGCCGCCAAGUAUUUCAAUGUUUACGAACUCGCCACAAAUGAACGAAAUUACAACAACAAUCUACACAAUGUUGCUUUGAGGGCACUUCCAUGCCGGUCUCGAUACACAUAUGUAUGUAUGUAUCCAUCAGGAUGAAGUUCCUUCCAAAACAAUUAUUUUUAUGAUCUGAACUGGCUUGUGAUGCGGUCUGCACUGCAGUUAUUUGGAUUUUGGGAACAAAAAGAGGUCACAUCUCACUAAAAAUGGCAGUAAAGCAGAGUCAACAAUGAUUUCUGAUGCGGAAACUACACUUUUGGAGCUUUAAACGAUAUUCUUGUCGUAAAAAAUCCAGGACUUUUAGUUGAAAUGCUUUUAGAAAACAGCAGAAACCGAAGUAUGUGGUAGUUAUAAAUAAGCAUCAAUCUUGAUAUAAAGGCAACGAAUUUCGGAUCCUUCGUAGUAUAAAGAUUUUACUAGCGAUGCCGCUUACGAUUCGCUUACUUACACAAUUGACUAGAUAAUAAUUAUGUGGGAACUCUGAUUAAACAGUCUUGAUUAUAACUACAUAUGUAUAUGCAUAUAGAGAUUGAAUACGUAUAUUUUUCGCUCCCACUUGUUGAUUCAAAUAAGCGAAGAAGCCAAUUAAUUAAGUAGGGAUAUACUGUGGAUUAUCAUCCAUUUUCAAAACAAUGCUAAAAGAAAUGUUUAUGCUUGUAAAAAAUAUAGGUGUUUAAUAAUAUUUUAAGAAAGCCUUUGUACGAGUAUAAUGUCAAACAAAAAUGUAAAUGAAAGUUACGCAAAUUUAAUAAAAUUAAAACAUAACAAUAAUUUAAAAAUUAAAAAAAAUUAUAUUAAAAGAAAAUUUGUUGCUUUUUGUAUUGGAAAUAGAUGUGUAAGCAGUAUGCGCUCGUUUAUUUUAUGAUCUUUUUCAGAAACAGUUCCAUAAUCAAGGCAGCAUUCUAUCGAAGGCAGAAGCAGAAGUGAGAUCUAGAAGUAAUCAAAUCACUGAUAUGAUUUUUUCUGCACAAAAAUGGUCAUAAAUUCCUUAAGGAAAAUUA